rnacentral:lncRNA from 1 species
ACCCAACUCAUCAAAUUAAUAACCACAACAUAAAUUCAUAAGUGUGGGAGUCUAUACAGUCACAAAACUAACAUUUACCAUAAGUUCAUAUCGUUACACAAAUUAAACUUAACAUUCCAGAAUCCUAAACAUGAGAGGUCCUUUAAACUUAUACAACAUCCACAAGUUUAGAUUCAUCGUCAACAUUUCAUUAGAUGCAGAGUGUACUUAUAUAACAAAAACAUAUAUACUAAUAAAGAUCUGCCCAAAAUCUUUUAGCUUUCCACUGCCUCAGCCCGAUCUUAACAUUUAAGCAAGCGACAAGCUAUCCU